UACGGAGGGUGCAAGCGUUGUCCGGAUUUAUUGGGUUUAAAGGGUGCGUAGGCGGCCCGUUAAGUCAGUGGUGAAAGCCUCCAGCUCAACUGGAGAACUGCCAUUGAUACUGACGGGCUUGAGUACAGACGAGGUUGGCGGAAUUGACUGUGUAGCGGUGAAAUGCAUAGAUACAAUCAAGAACUCCGAUUGCGUAGGCAGCUAACUAGGCUGUAACUGACGCUGAGGCACGAAAGCGUGGGGAGCGAACAGG
rnacentral:rRNA from 1 species